UUUAGAUACUGAAAAACCAAAAAGCUUUUAUUGUGAAAUUUAUAUCAUGGGUCAUAAAGCAUUAGUUUCUAUAGCUCACAUUUUAAAAGUACAGUGCAUUAUAUUUUGGACAGCUUUUUUCCUAUGGGUUUUUUUUCUCAUGUCUGUUUGCCUAUAUAUUUCUAUCUCUGAGUUUUUCUUAAAAAUAUAAUAGACCCCUAGAAUAUAUAAUAGUGUGUUUCUUAUAAUGUUUUUAACAAAAACCAUUCCUUAUGUAAACCUUGGAAAAUAAAAGAAUGAUAACAACCCUUGGGUUAAAAAAAUCUUUUAAAUAAACAUUUCUCACUGAGUCUGAAUUUUUCU
rnacentral:lncRNA from 1 species